ACGGAAGGCAGCAGUGGGGAAUAUUGCACAAUGGGGGAAACCCUGAUGUAGCAACGCCGCGUGAGUGAAGAAGUAUUUCGGUAUGUAAAGCUCUAUCAGCAGGGAAGAUAAUGACGGUACCUGACUAAGAAGCACUGGCUAAAUACGUGCCAGCAGCCGCGGUAAUACGUAUGGUGCAAGCGUUAUCCGGAUUUACUGGGUGUAAAGGGUGCGUAGGUGGCAUGGUAAGUCAGAUGUGAAAUACCGGGGCUCAACCCCGGGGAUGCAUUUGAAACUGCCAGGCUGGAGUACAGGAGAGGCAAGCGGAAUUCCUAGUGUAGCGGGAAAUGCGUAGAUAUUAGGAGGAACACCAGUGGCGAAGGCGGCUUGCUGGACUGUUACUGACACUGAGGCACGAAAGCGUGGGGAGCAAACAGGAUUAGAUACCCUGGUA
rnacentral:rRNA from 1 species